GGUUAAAAUGCGUGUGUGUAAGCAUAUGCCAACAACCUGUGUGUUAUUCAACCAAGGCAGAUGUCGACAACCUGCGAACUAUCAUAUAGGAUACCUAUGUAGCAACACCAGGCAACACACAGUCCAGCAGCAAUAAAAAAAAUACCCGGCAGAGAGAAGGUAGAUAUAUUCCUAAGUUAUGAUGCUGACAGUUGCAAUGUUUUACAAUUUGUAAACUGCAUAAAACAGCGCCGAAUUAGAAUUAGCUGCAACGGAUUAGACUGAUAUAUGUGAUAUUCUAUGUAACAAACCCGUUGGGUAGAUGCUCUGUGCAAAAUCAGUACCAAUAGUUGGUAGUUUGUCCAGUCUCCUCCGCCAAACACAACAUGAAAAUUACCUCCUCGUAUAGAAAUAGAACAGUGGAUAGGCAAAGCCCCGCCGAAUCAGAACAGUUGCACACUGUGGCAUAUAUCCAGGAAUAAGAAAAUACGUAGCAUACGAGAAACUGAUGGGCGAUAAUGCAGAUUCCGAUUCCACACCCACUCAUGGAGCGAAACUUGCAGGCAACUUCGGGCUAGCAGACGCCGCCCGCCUUGUUCCUGGCCACUUGCCUUCGGUCUGUGCCAUCGACACGCGAGAGGAACAUCCGAACAUACAUGCACGGCAGCCAUCGGCUGACCUUGUGAGCCAAGCACUCGAGCCCCGGCUCAGCCACGCAACCUCUGAUUCCAAGUCCAACGUAUGUGGAGAAGACUAGAGUUCAGCUCAGUGCAUCUAUCCAUCUACACGCGUCUGGCCGGGACGGGUUUCUGGAGGCCGGACGGGAGAGGCCCCACGUUUCCUGGCAACAAAGCGGUGGCUGCGGCGGCGCAGAACAAAUCCUCGGAGCACCUCCGCCUCAGUUGGAACAAACAGUGCUGAACAUCACAUAUACCAUGAGGAGCCCUUCAUUCCUUCCUUCCUUCCUUGUAGGUGGCGCACCUGACCUGCGCGCAUCAGGGAGUUGCCAUGUCCAUGGAGAUGGCUGCCAUUGCCGUGG
rnacentral:rRNA from 1 species